UAACUUGAGAGUUCGAUCCUGGCUCAGAACGAACGCUGGCGGCACGCUUAACACAUGCAAGUCGAACGAAAUUAUGAAGCUUGCUUUAUAAUUUAGUGGCGCACGGGUGAGUAACACGUGGAUACCUGCCUAUCGAUGGUGGACAACUCCGGGAAACUGGAGCUAAUACAGCAUAAUCUCGAGAGAGGAAAGAUCGAAAGGUCGUCGAUAGAGGGG
rnacentral:rRNA from 1 species